rnacentral:rRNA from 1 species
GGCCAGACUCCUACGGGAGGCAGCAGUGAGGAAUAUUGGUCAAUGGCCGAGAGGCUGAACCAGCCAAGUCGCGUGAGGGACGACGGCCCUACGGGUUGUAAACCUCUUUUGCCGGGGGACAAACGGCGGCACGCGUGCCGUCCUGAGGGUACCCGGAGAAAAAGCAUCGGCUAACUCCGUGCCAGCAGCCGCGGUAAUACGGAGGAUGCGAGCGUUAUCCGGAUUUAUUGGGUUUAAAGGGUGCGUAGGCGGAAUGCCAAGUCAGCGGUAAAAUCGCGGGGCUCAACCUCGCUCCGCCGUUGAAACUGGCGUUCUUGAGUGGGCGAGAAGUAUGCGGAAUGCGUGGUGUAGCGGUGAAAUGCAUAGAUAUCACGCAGAACUCCGAUUGCGAAGGCAGCAUACCGGCGCCCAACUGACGCUGAAGCGCGAAAGCGUGGGUAUCGAACAGGAUUAGAUACCCCAGUA